rnacentral:rRNA from 1 species
AAACUUUCAACAAUGGAUCUCUUGGUUCCGGCAUCGAUGAAGAACGCAGCGAAAUGCGAUAAGUAAUGUGAAUUGCAAAAUUCCGUGAAUCAUCGAAUCUUUGAACGCACAUUGCGCCCCCUGGCAUUCCGGGGGGCAUGCCUGUCCGAGCGUCAUUU